rnacentral:rRNA from 1 species
UAUUAACUCUGGCGGUGUGCCUAAUACAUGCAAGUCGAGCGAACGGACGAGAAGCUUGCUUCUCUGAUGUUAGCGGCGGACGGGUGAGUAACACGUGGAUAACCUACCUAUAAGACUGGGAUAACUUCGGGAAACCGGAGCUAAUACCGGAUAAUAUUUUGAACCGCAUGGUUCAAAAGUGAAAGACGGUCUUGCUGUCACUUAUAGAUGGAUCCGCGCUGCAUUAGCUAGUUGGUAAGGUAACGGCUUACCAAGGCAACGAUGCAUAGCCGACCUGAGAGGAUGAUCGGCCACACUGGAACUGAGACACGGUCCAGACUCCUACGGGAGGCAGCAGUAGGGAAUCUUCCGCAAUGGGCGAAAGCCUGACGGAGCAACGCCGCGUGAGUGAUGAAGGUCUUCGGAUCGUAAAACUCUGUUAUUAGGGAAGAACAUAUGUGUAAGUAACUGUGCACAUCUUGACGGUACCUAAUCAGAAAGCCACGGCUAACUACGUG